rnacentral:lncRNA from 1 species
AACUAGAGAAUAUUUUCAUUAAUUAGGGUAAAACCCUUUCAUGCACACAUAUAAAGUUGGCUGGUCCCCUCCCACGUACAACUAACCGAAAAAAAUAACAAAGAAAAGCAAUAAUUGAAAAACACGCUUCUACUAAUACUAGAAACACUUUAUUGUUGCUACUUAGCCACUUUCGCAGAUAACAAUUCCUUGCUCCAUUUGAGCUUCCUUCCCAAC